GGGAUAACAGUGCGAAAGCGCUGCUAAUACCGGAUACGACCCAGUCGCGGGAGCGAUUGGGGGAAAGUCGGCCUCUCAAAGAAGCCGGCGCUGGGAGAUGGGCCUGCGUCCUAUCAGCUAGUUGGCGGGGUGACGGCCCACCAAGGCGACGACGGGUAGCUGGUCUGAGAGGAUGAUCAGCCACAUUGGCACUGAAACACGGGCCAAACUCCUACGGGAGGCAGCAGUGAGGAAUUUUGCGCAAUGGCCGCAAGGCUGACGCAGCAACGCCGCGUGAGUGAUGAAGGCCUUCGGGUCGUAAAGCUCUGUCGGGCGGGAAGAACCUCAUGAGAGUAAAUAGCUCUUAUGACUGACGGUACCGCCAAAGGAAGCACCGGCUAACUCCGUGCCAGCAGCCGCGGUAAUACGGAGGGUGCAAGCGUUAUUCGGAAUUACUGGGCGUAAAGGGCAUGCAGGCGGUCCGAUAAGUCUGAUGUGAAAGCCCCGGGCUUAACCUGGGAAGUGCAUUGGAUACUGCCGGACUUGAGUCUCGGAGAGGAAGGGAGAAUUCCCGGUGUAGAGGUGAA
rnacentral:rRNA from 1 species